GAUGAACGCUGGCGGCGUGCCUAAUACAUGCAAGUCGAGCGAACAGAUGAGGAGCUUGCUCCUCUGACGUUAGCGGCGGACGGGUGAGUAACACGUGGAUAACCUACCUAUAAGACUGGGAUAACUACGGGAAACCGGAGCUAAUACCGGAUAAUAUAUUGAACCGCAUGGUUCAAUAGUGAAAGACGGUUUUGCUGUCACUUAUAGAUGGAUCCGCGCCGCAUUAGCUAGUUGGUAAGGUAACGGCUUACCAAGGCAACGAUGCGUAGCCGACCUGAGAGGGUGAUCGGCCACACUGGAACUGAGACACGGUCCAGACUCCUACGGGAGGCAGCAGUAGGGAAUCUUCCGCAAUGGGCGAAAGCCUGACGGAGCAACGCCGCGUGAGUGAUGAAGGUCUUCGGAUCGUAAAACUCUGUUAUUAGGGAAGAACAAAUGUGUAAGUAACGAUGCACGUCUUGACGGUACCUAAUCAGAAAGCCACGGCUAACUACGU
rnacentral:rRNA from 1 species